ACUGAGAAAGUAACACUGAAAUAUAUACAUUAUCUUGUGUAAAGUAAACAGCUAGUGGGAAGUUGCUAUGUGGUGCUCUGUGACAACCUAGGGGGGUGGGAUGGUGGCUCAAGACAGAAGGGAUAUGUCUAUGCUUAGGGCUAAUUCAGGUUGUAUGGCAGAAACCAACACAACAUUGUUAAGCAAUUAUCUUCAAUUAAACUUAAAAAAAAAAACCAUAUACAUACUGACCUUACCCCCCUACCUCUUUGGAGCAGUUUCUCAGAACUAUUUGAAAUGCUAUCUCCUGGGCUAUAUUCUUCAUUUUGUUCCAGAUAAAACAACUCAAAAAAAAAAAAAAAAAAAAAGAAGAAAAGACAGAGGCAAUGAGAUCUGAAGAGCAAAGUUCAAGACUUUGUGUCAUUUACUAGCAGAGUGCUCCUGUGCAAAUUAUCAAUUUUUUUUCUGACCAUUAGGGUCCUCAUUUAAUAAAUGAGGGCAAUAACACCUCAUUUUUGUGAUCUAAUAGAGCCAAAGCACCUGGAACAGAAGCAUCAGAAUGUCACUCAGAUAUUGUUUCUUUUCUUCUUUCCCUAGAUUCUCUGGAUCACCUCCUCAUCUCACCCUCAAUCUAACUCUGGAUAUGGGGAAAAGACCCCUCCACUCCCUGCUACCAGUGACCGGGGAAAGCAGAGUCUGUAUGCCUGGAGGCCAGAAGCACAAAGGGAGAAUGGGUCCACAUGUACUCUUCCAGUCCUGUCCACCCCUCAACUCACCGUGCAUUGCUGGAGGCCCCUGGGCUCUCGGUCUGCCCUGAUCGAGACCCCCAUUCCAAAACACAGGCCAGGAGGCAGGCCAACAAAAAGAAGCCACCCAAGCUGAGAAAGAAAUAAGCCACAGGGGCGAUGUCCGGCCGUAUCCCCAGCAAAGCCAGCCCCAGGAGGAAGGAGGUGCAGCACAGGAAGAGAAGCGGCUUCUCCAGUUUCCCCCACGGCUGGCCUGGCACCAUGGCCCCUCCCCAGGCUCCUGCAAAAAGACACACAGCUGUUGUGUCCAAACUAGCAGUUGGCAUCACGGCUAGGUCAGAUUUCAAAGUGGAUUCUUUACACUGAGCUGUUGAGGAAGCCUCUAUUUUGUUACCAAGUCCAAGCUCACUCUGCUCAUGGCACAACAGGCCAAUGAAUCCAAAAGAGGAGAUGUUGAGGAGACAUGGGUUCAGUCCCUGAAUGGAGAAGAUAUCCGCGAGAAGGAAGUGGCAACCCACUCCAGGAUUCUUGCCUGGAAAAUCCCGUGGACAGAGGAGCCUGGAAUGCUACAGUCCAUGGGGUCACAAAGAGUCUGAAACAUGUACAGUACAGAUUUGUGUACUGAUCAACAAUGACAACAAAAUUCCUGGAGUACCGCCCUGUUACCUCACCACCAACCAAUUAGAAGAAAGUCACACAACCUACAAACUUCACCACUUAUUUUGCCUUUAAAAACUCUUUCCCCAAACCAUCAAAAGACCAUUGGGUCUUUUGACUAUCGGCCGCCCACUCUCUUUGCAUGGCCCUUAUAAUAAA